UGAAGGGAGUCUGGUGUCUCGUGGUCAAAUCUCUCACCUCAUUGAUGACCAGGGUUGAUUUGACUCAUCCACUGGCUAGGUGACUAUUUCCGUUCUCUCUUGCUAUUCUAUGUCCCUCUCUCCCAAAGCUGCACUCAGUCAGAAGAUGAACUUUCCAGAUAAAGGAGGACAGUUCUGUGGUCAAGGAAAUAUAAUAUAAGUACCUGUGUUACCCUGCUGGAACCUCCAAACAAGCUCUAAAGAACCAUUUGUGGGAGAACAUAGGGUAAUUCAGCGUCUAAGACUCCAGAUGUAACUAAACAAGACAUUGCAUGUGUAAGUCCACCUUUAUUU
rnacentral:snRNA from 1 species